rnacentral:rRNA from 5 species
AAACGACUCUCGGCAACGGAUAUCUCGGCUCUCGCAUCGAUGAAGAACGUAGCGAAAUGCGAUACUUGGUGUGAAUUGCAGAAUCCCGUGAACCAUCGAGUCUUUGAACGCAAGUUGCGCCCGAAGCCAUUAGGUUGAGGGCACGUCUGCCUGGGCGUCACGC